rnacentral:rRNA from 2 species
GGUUAAGCGACUAAGCGUACACGGUGGAUGCCCUGGCAGUCAGAGGCGAUGAAGGACGUGCUAAUCUGCGAUAAGCGUCGGUAAGGUGAUAUGAACCGUUAUAACCGGCGAUUUCCGAAUGGGGAAACCCAGUGUGAUUCGUCACACUAUCAUUAACUGA